AGAACGAACGCUGGCGGCAGGCCUCAAACAUGCAAGUCUAGGGGGCGUAGCAAUACGUCACCGGCGGACGGGUGCGUAACACGUGGGAAUGUACUUAUUGGUUCGGAACAACUCAGGGAAACUUGAGCUAAUACCGAAUGUGCCCGAAAGGGGAAAGAUUUAUCGCCAAUAAAUCAGCCCGCGUCCGAUUAGCUAGUUGGUGGGGUAAAGGCCCACCAAGGCGACGAUCGGUAGCUGUUCUGAGAGGAAGAUCAGCCACACUGGGACUGAGACACGGCCCAGACUCCUACGGGAGGCAGCAGUUGGGAAUCUUGGACAAUGGGGGAAACCUGAUCCAGCCAUGCCGCGUGAGUGAUGAAGGCCUUCGGGUUGUAAAACUCUUUCGACGGGGACGAUAAUGACGGUACCCGUAGAAGAAGCGUCCGGCUAACUUCGUGCCAGCAGCCGC
rnacentral:rRNA from 1 species